CUAAUCGGCGGUCUGCUUAAUUGGCCUUAGUGGUUUGUAACCGUGGAGCAUCUUAGCGAAAGUAACAGUACGUAUGCUUAUUUUUCCAAAUAAACAUUUAAAAGUGGAGCUCAAGAGCGAAUUGAGAAGAAAGAGAAAGAAUUUGACAAGGCAAAGCUUCUGUAAUUAGAUAAAUUUCUUCCUGUAUCUCGUCUACAUUCAUCGGAUUUAAGUGCCAUUAUUUGUGGGAAGGAAAUGACGUCGAAUGACCAACAAAUGAGAAAGCAUGAGGGUGGUAGAUCUGCGCGUACAAAGUGCUAUGAACGAGCGCGAAGUAUUGAGAAGUGAAGAGAGCAUGGCACAAAGGAGAACACUUCAGUUGGGCACUGAGGCGUUCAUGCUUCAUCUCACCAGCAUCUACACGUUGCUCAUGAUUCAAGUGAAAAGCCAAGUAGCCCAUUAAAACUCUGAUUAUGCUGAGGCAGCUAGCAUUCAGUUACAGCUCCGAUUCCUACAAGAAUAGUCCGACAGGCUUCUGUGUCCUUGCAAAUGACUUUGUCUUUUAUUUAAUGGAUUUUUUUUUUUUUUUUUUUUUUUAAAGUUUCAUUAUCUUUGUGACCCCUAAGCUAAUUAAAUUGCCUUUGUUCUGACAGAUGGUAGAAGUGUUAAGGGACAGUUUGUAACUUCAGAGGAGUUUCUUGUCGUGCUUAGUCUUUUUAUUUAUUUAUUUUUUUUAAAAAAAGAAAUACCCCGCUUUUAUUUUGUUUUGUUGCGCGCACACUGUUUUCUCAGCUAUGUUUGAUUCCACAGACAUCUUUCAGGAUUUAUAAAGUUCCUUAAACUCUCAGUUGGAUUCCUCUCUAUUUGUAAGCAGCGGUUAGAGAAAUACACGACACCCAAACGGUUUCUUUUCUUUCCUUUCUUUCUUUCUUUCUUUCUUUCUUUCUUUCUUUCUUCUUUUAUGUCGAAUUUUUAUUUUUGUUGGGUUUCAGUGAUUUUUCUGGUAAGAAGUGAAUGCAUGUUUGCGAGUGUGACAAGUAAUAAUAUUCAGUCAUUUUCAGUGACCUG
ensembl:lncRNA